AUUGAACGCUGGCGGCAUGCUUUACACAUGCAAGUCGAACGGUAACAGGCCUUCGGGUGCUGACGAGUGGCGAACGGGUGAGUAAUGCAUCGGAACGUACCCAGAGGUGGGGGAUAACGCAGCGAAAGCUGUGCUAAUACCGCAUGUGAUCUGAGGAUGAAAGCGGGGGACCGAGCAGCAAUGUUUGGCCUCGCGCCUUUGGAGCGGCCGAUGUCGGAUUAGCUAGUUGGUGGGGUAAAGGCCUACCAAGGCGACGAUCCGUAGCUGGUCUGAGAGGACGACCAGCCACACUGGGACUGAGACACGGCCCAGACUCCUACGGGAGGCAGCAGUGGGGAAUUUUGGACAAUGGGCGCAAGCCUGAUCCAGCAAUGCCGCGUGCGGGAAGAAGGCCUUCGAGUUGUAAACCGCUUUUGGCAGGAACGAAACGGUGUCCGCUAAUACCGGGCGCUAAUGACGGUACCUGCAGAAUAAGCACCGGCUAACUACGUG
rnacentral:rRNA from 1 species